rnacentral:rRNA from 1 species
UACAGAGGUCCCGAGCGUUGUUCGGAUUCACUGGGCGUAAAGGGUGCGUAGGUGGUGAGGUAAGUCGGAUGUGAAGGCUCGGAGCUCAACUCCGAAAUGGCAUUGGAAACUACCUUGCUCGAGGGUUAGAGGGGGGACUGGAAUACUUGGUGUAGCAGUGAAAUGCGUAGAUAUCAAGUGGAACACCAGUGGCGAAGGCGAGUCCCUGGACAACUCCUGACACUGAGGCACGAAAGCUAGGGGAGCAAACAGG